UACGUAGGGUGCAAGCGUUGUCCGGAAUUAUUGGGCGUAAAGAGCUCGUAGGCGGUCUGUCGCGUCUGCUGUGAAAACUCGGGGCUUAACCCCGGGCCUGCAGUGGGUACGGGCAGACUAGAGUGCGGUAGGGGAGACUGGAAUUCCUGGUGUAGCGGUGAAAAGCGCAGAUAUCAGGAGGAACACCGGUGGCGAAGGCGGGUCUCUGGGCCGUAACUGACGCUGAGGAGCGAAAGCGUGGGGAGCGAACAGG
rnacentral:rRNA from 1 species